rnacentral:rRNA from 1 species
UACGUAGGGUGCGAGCGUUAAUCGGAAUUACUGGGCGUAAAGCGUGCGCAGGCGGUUUUGUAAGCCGGAUGUGAAAUCCCCGGGCUUAACCUGGGAAUGGCAUUUGGAACUGCAAGGCUGGAGUGCGGCAGAGGAGACUGGAAUUCCUGGUGUAGCAGUGAAAUGCGUAGAUAUCAGGAGGAACACCGAUGGCGAAGGCAGGUCUCUGGGCUGACACUGACGCUCAUGCACGAAAGCGUGGGGAGCAAACAGG